GACGAACCGUCCAAACGUUGUUCGGAAUCACUGGGCUUAAAGGGCGCGUAGGCGGGUUCCCAAGUCGGUGGUGAAAUCUUUCGGCCCAACCGGAAAAGUGCCGCCGAUACUGGGGACCUCGAGGGAGGUAGGGGUCGAGGGAACUUCCGGUGGAGCGGUGAAAUGCGUAGAUAUCGGAAGGAACGCCGGUGGCGAAAGCGCUCGACUGGACCUCUUCUGACGCUGAGGCGCGAAAGCCAGGGGAGCAUACGGG
rnacentral:rRNA from 1 species